CCACAGCUUUUCUGUUUAGUGUUUAUAGUGAUUAUCUAGCCAACCAUAAGCAAAAGGUCAGCUGUGGUAACAAACAGUUCAAUUCAGCUGAUCUCAUGGCCUUUGCCAAGCAACAGGUAAUAAUAUAUUAGCACUUUUCUGAUGCUUCUCGCUAAUUCUGCUGACCUCAUGGCCUUUGCCAAGCAACAGGUAAUAUAUAUCAGCUCUUUUCUGAUGCUUCUCGCAAUUUUAAUCUUAGCAAUAGGCCAGCCCUGGCUAAAGAUUUCUAACGCGUCAUACUCAUGAGAGCUAUUUCUAUCAAAAAUAUGGUCAGGCAUUUCUGUGGGUGUAGGACAAUACUCUUUAUUAUAUACUAGCUGUUUCAAAAAACAUAUAUAUGCUCAUCAUGAGAUAAAAU
rnacentral:lncRNA from 1 species